rnacentral:rRNA from 1 species
CCCUUAGAUGUCCUGGGCCGCACGCGCGCUACACUGACAUGUUCAACAAGCCUCCUAGUUCGACAGGAUUUGGGAAAUCUUUGAACGCAUGUCGUGAUAGGGAUGGAUCAUUGCAAUUAUUGAUCUUGAACGAGGAAUUCCUAGUAAACGCGAGUCAUCAGCUCGCAUUGAUUACGUCCCUGCCCUUUGUACACACCGCCCGUCGCACCUACCGAUUGAAUGUUUCGGUGAAGAUUCCGGAUAGGACUUUUUUGAUUUAUUUCAAUUCUGUCUUAAAAGCUAUCUAAACCUCAACAUUUAGAGGAAGGUGAAGUCGUAACA